rnacentral:rRNA from 1 species
AUUGAACGCUGGCGGCAGGCCUAACACAUGCAAGUCGAGCGGAGCGGCGGACGGGUGCGUAAUGCCUAGGAAUCUGCCUGGUAGUGGGGGAUAAGGUCCGGAAAUGGGCGCUAAUACCGCAUACUAUCAGAUGAGCCUAGGUCGGAUUAGCUAGUGGGUGGGGUAAAGGCCUACCCAGGCGACGAUCGGUAACUGGUCUGAGAGGAUGAUCAGUCACUGUGUAACGGAGACGCUGGCCAGACUCCUAGGGGGUGCAGCAGGGGGGAAUAUUGGACAAUGCGCGAUAGCCUGAUCCAGCCAUGCCGCGUGUGUGAAGAAGGUCUUCGUUUUGAAAAACACUUAAAGUUGGGAGGCGUUACCAACAGAAUGAGCACCGGAUAACUGCGUGACAGCAGCCGCUGUAUC